rnacentral:tRNA from 1 species
UGGGGGAGUGGCUAUUUGUCAGUGCCAUAAAAGUGGUAAAAGCUAUCUGAUCUACGUUGCUAUCUACGUCUCGGGUUUGGGCUUAGAUUUGCUUUCGUCCAAAUUAGCACAUCAGGCUCAUAACCUGAAGGUCGUAGGUUCAAAUCCUACUCCCGCAACCA